rnacentral:hammerhead_ribozyme from 1 species
AUCCAGUUGACGAGUCCCAAAUAGGACAAAACGCGCGCCCUGGAU